GGGGGAUGCGAGCGUUAUCCGGAUUUAUUGGGUUUAAAGGGUGCGUAGGCGGCAAGGUAAGUCAGCGGUGAAAGACCAGGGCUCAACUCUGGAAGUGCCGUUGAUACUGUCUGGCUAGAAUGAUUCCGCCGUGGGAGGAAUGAGUAGUGUAGCGGUGAAAUGCAUAGAUAUUACUCAGAACACCGAUUGCGAAGGCAUCUCACGAGGGGUUUAUUGACGCUGAGGCACGAAAGCGUGGGGAUCGAACAGGAUUAGAUACCCUGGUAGUCCACGCAGUAAACGAUGAUGGCUAACUGUCGGGCCUUAGGGUUCGGCGGCCAAGCGAAAGCGAUAAGCCAUCCACCUGGGGAGU
rnacentral:rRNA from 1 species